rnacentral:rRNA from 1 species
AAUAGAUACCCGGGAAGUCCACGCCGUAAACGAUGAAUACUAGGUGUAGGGGUUGUCAUGACCUCUGUGCCGCCGCUAACGCAUUAAGUAUUCCGCCUGGGGAGUACGGUCGCAAGAUUAAAACUCAAAGGAAUUGACGGGGGCCCGCACAAGCAGCGGAGCAUGUGGUUUAAUUCGAAGCAACGCGAAGAACCUUACCUAGACUUGACAUCUCCUGAAUUACCUUUAAUCGGGGAAGCCCUUCGGGGCAGGAAGACAGGUGGUGCAUGGUUGUCGUCAGCUCGUGUCGUGAGAUGUUGGGUUAAGUCCCUCAACGAGCGCAACCCUUAUUGUUAGUUGCUACCAUUUAGUUGAGCACUCUAGCGAGACUGCCCGGGUUAACCGGGAGGAAGGUGGGGAUGACGUCAAAUCAUCAUGCCCCUUAUGUCUAGGGCUACACACGUGCUACAAUGGUCGGUACAGAGAGAUGCUAAACCGUGAGGUGGAGCCAAACUUUAAACCGAUCUCAGUUCGGAUUGUAGGCUGAAACUCGCCUACAUGAAG